rnacentral:lncRNA from 1 species
AUGAAGCUGUUACACCAGAGGGUUUGUGUCCAAAACUCCUCUCCUGACCCUGGCUGCAGACAGCGACGAGCACAGCUGCUUGGAAACCUCUCCUCUGGGCCUCUUGCAAUGGUGCAGAGAAACAGAGAAAUGCUGCCUGGUGCUGCCCCUCCGCAGGUGCUGCUUUCAUUCCAGGUAGGAACAAAAACUUGCUUUGUAAAUUUUUUCUCCCCAUGUCCUCCCUCUGAACAGCCCUUCCUUGGGGCACUUGCAAGCCUUGGUGUGGGCAGCAGCAGGGCAAAGCUCCGACCUUCCCAGCAGGGCGCUGGGGGUGGAGGUGCCUGCAGGAGACAACCGUGCUCGAGGGUCUGUGGGGACAAGGGAGCGAAAUAUUUCCCCGGCCCGCUCCCGGCUGAGGAAUGCUGCUCGGGCUGAGGCAGUGAGCAGGGGCAGGGACCCGGCAUUCUUCCUGCUCGCCGGCAUCCAGCGCUGUCUAGACUUCGUAGCGCACCGCCCGGCCUUGAACUGCUGCCACGGCAUCUCCCAGCGCUUCCCCGCGGUGGAAGCGGAGCAGCCUGCGCUCUGCCAAAGCCUCAGUCACGCGAACGAGCCCCCAGUUCCUGGUGCCUUUGGCAAUUCGUCCCGCUGAGCCAGUGAACGUGCAGCAGGUGGGAGCGAAGCUCAUUUCCAAACCCACAGCCUGCUGGAAACAAAAAACCCGACCUGAUUUCCACCAGGAGGGACGGCCGCGUCUCCCUCCGUGCUGGUGGAGAUGCCCGGCUGUGGGGAGGGGUCCUCCUGCAAAGGGAACCCCCGCACCAGCUCUCUGGGGUGCUGAUCUUCAGGCCAAGCAUCAUUUCCCUCUCUAAUAUUGAUCCCACUCAUUGUUCGUGUGCAGGUUUGGGUGCCUGGGACGGUGCUCCUUGGAGAGCUUUGGUUUCCAGAGGUCAGGUCCCAAGCAUGCACAUCAGUUCCCUGCUGCUUGGUGUGAAACAGAGGCAGCUCAGAUCCUCUUUUUUUUAUUUUUAUUUAUUUAUUUAUUUAUUUUUAUUGCAUGUUCCUAUGCUCUGUUGAAAGGCCGUGCAUCCCUCUGCAAGUGCUGGGUGGGAGCAGGCAGGGAGAGGUGCAACCAGUGAAAUGCUGUGAGGUCCCAGCAGGGGAUUCGCCCUGGUGUGAAUCUGGGCUUUGUGUGAACAAGGUUUUCAGACGAAGUUUGUGGUUUACGGCAUUUGUGCAUCUCAGGCUGACACAUCAUAUGUAGGUUGGGCACCAGGACCGACGUGUCAGGACCCAUACAGAAUCCUUGCUGAUUAAUCCUGCUGAUGAGGGGUCCUGCUCUGCCUUCCCCAGGAAGGACGGGGGAGGCGCACAGUUAGGGCUGUGCAUCCAGAACGAGCAGUCAGUGCCUACACGCUUCCUAAUUUACAUGCAGGGA